UACGGGGGGGGCAAGCGUUGUUCGGAAUUACUGGGCGUAAAGGGCUCGUAGGUGGCCAACUAAGUCAGACGUGAAAUCCCUCGGCUUAACUGGGGAACUGCGUCUGAUACUGGAUGGCUUGAGUUCGGGAGAGGGAUGCGGAAUUCCAGGUGUAGCGGUGAAAUGCGUAGAUAUCUGGAGGAACACCGGUGGCGAAGGCGGCAUCCUGGACCGAUACUGACACUGAGGAGCGAAAGCCAGGGGAGCAAACGGG
rnacentral:rRNA from 1 species